rnacentral:rRNA from 1 species
GACGAACGCUGGCGGCGUGCUUAACACAUGCAAGUCGAACGGAAAGGCCCUGCUUUUGUGGGGUGCUCGAGUGGCGAACGGGUGAGUAACACGUUAGUAACCUGCCCUUGACUUUGGGAUAACUUCAGGAAACUGGGGCUAAUACCGGAUAGGAGCUCCUGCUGCAUGGUGGGGGUUGGAAAGUUUCGGCGGUUGGGGAUGGACUCGCGGCUUAUCAGCUUGUUGGUGGGGUAGUGGCUUACCAAGGCUUUGACGGGUAGCCGGCCUGAGAGGGUGACCGGCCACAUUGGGACUGAGAUACGGCCCAGACUACUACGGGAGGCAGCAGUGGGGAAUAUUGCACAAUGGGCGGAAGCCUGAUGCAGCAACGCCGCGUGCGGGAUGACGGCCUUAGGGUUGUAAACCGCUUUCGCCUGUGACGAAGCGUGAGUGACGGUAAUGGGUAAAGAAGCACCGGCUAACUACGU